rnacentral:rRNA from 1 species
AUGGCUACACAAACCGUUGAAGAUAGUUCUAAACCUAGGCCAAAACGAACUGGUGCAAGUAGUUUACUGAAACCCUUGAAUUCAGAAUAUGGGAAAGUCGCCCCGGGUUGGGGGACUACUACAAAAGGAUUCAUUUUUUUCGUGUCACAGCUGAUUACUUCUUUUUUCCUUUUUAAAGAGUGGCAUCCUAUGUCCAAUAUCUCGAUCGAAGGACGGAGGUCAGAAUAA